GUCCGCCGAUCAAACCAGGAACCAACCGCGGGUGGGGGUUGGGUUCGAGGGGAUACGAUUCUCCAGGACAAAAAGACUCUGCAUGAGUGUUCUUCUGCGUUCUUCAAUUCUUUUUCACUUAUUUCAUCCCUCUCUAAUCCCCUUCUUCCACUCCGUUAUCCCCCCUUUCUAUUUAUAACUCCAUCCAUAAGUCAUCCGCUGUAUCCCUCUUCCCUCUCUGUAGCACAGUCCCUCCUCCCACUGAGAUAACGCCCCUCAAUGUCCCUCUUUCUGCAUUGCUUUCCACCGUCAGCUCGCCUUUUGCUUUGUCCCUCCCACCACCAAAUUAAAUUUAUAUAGACCCCGUCGUUUCACCCUGUCUGUACCCAUUCUCUGUUACAUCUGACCCUAAACCCUCUUUAUCUCCGCUCCUUCCUCCCUGUCCCUGUCACUUAUUUACCUCUCUCUGACCUCCCCCAGCCUUCCCUCAUUCUCUCCCUCUUUCUCCCCAUUCUCACAACUCCUCCCCCGGCCGCUCUCACAUCUCGAGAACACCCGCCUUCACAGCCAUAAUCUGCCUCCUGGCUGGCACCUCCUCCCCAUCUCUCGGCCUCUCCCUUCAUCUGGUGUUUGUUGGUGCCGGACAGACUCCCCUGUAAACACGGGCUUCCCUGGACAACGGUUACUUCCCCUUUCUGAGCUCAGAGACGCAGAGAAUCCUCGACAGGUCGGACGACAACGAGACUUACAUAAAUGUGAAGUUCACGAAAACGGACUUUGAGACCCCUUCUCGGGGAAAGGCGGGCAGAAAUACGUUGCGAGAAAGAUUCGGUUUGUGUCUGGCAACGGUGGUGUGUGAUGGGCAGCUGUGAAGGGAAUUUGUUUCAGUGUCCAAUCCGGUGAGUGUGUGAUGGGACGGUGUGGAGGGAGCUUCACACUGUGUCUGACUCCGGGAGUGUGUGAUGAAUCCUUAUGGAGGGGGAUCACUCUGUGUUUAACCCCGGGAGUGUGUGAUGAGACCUUGUGGAGGGGGAUCACUCUGUGUCUGACCGUGGGAGUGUGUAUUGGGACUUUGUGGAGGGAGCUUCACUCUGUGACUGACUCUCAAUCUUCUGUCCCCAGCUGAACCUGAUGUAUCGUACGUUGAAGUUAAUUUCAGGACCCCCUCGGCGCCCCGAGUCCGGACAGAUCGAGACGGUCAGAACACCACCUACUCAGAGCUGAACGUUCGGAAAAAGAACCCGCAUCGAUAAGGACGAACAUUCUCCCAUUUCCUCGGGUCCCGGCGGGCGGUCAACCGCUGCAGAAACAGCUGAACCUAAUGUAUCGUACGUGGAAGUUAAUUUCAAGACCCCAUCGGCGCCCCGGGUCCGGACAGAUCGAGAAGGUCUGAAAUCCACCUACUCAGAGCUGAACGUUCGGAAAAAGAAACCCCGCGUCGAUGAGGACGAAGAUCCUCCCAUUUCCUCGGGACCCGGCGGGCUGUCAACCGCUGCACAAACAGCUGCGCAUGAUCAACAGUCGAAAGUGAAGAUCGGAAAUAGACCGUACCGUCUGAUCUGCCUACUCUGCCUAGUUACAUUCGCCCUCAUCGUGAUAGUGGCCGG